CUUCGACCCUCCACCAGCUCGAGGAUCUUCAUCGACAUCCUCCUCUCUGGGCUUAACGAUCUGAACAUGGGCUGACGCACAUAUGGAGGAAGUCAUGCAGAGGCUUUGGAGUCAGCGAUCUCAGAGCUUUCAAGAUGCCGUCCAUGAUACGAUCAUUGAGAUUCUCUGAGAUUCACAUCUGUGCGAUCAGUUGGACUUAUUGUCACAGCCAUUACCGCAGGUAAGUCUAUUAAUAAUUUUCUUUACUUGUUCUAAACUUUUAUAUUUAGAAGCUUCACGUGUUUAGACUUGAGUCCGUAAAGAAGAUAUAAGAGGUAAAAAUUUAAUCUAACCAUCUAAAUGAUAGGUCGGAGGUAUCUAUAACUCCAUAUCAUCAAAUGGAAUAUGUAGAAAUAAUCUGUUCGAGAAUCAGAAUAGCAUAUCAAAAUAUACAUCUCCAUAUCGACAGAUACUCUUUUAUAUCAAAACUUAUUAAUAAUAUUUUAAUUUUUUUAUUACAGGAUGUUGAGACAUUCGGCUCUCAUCCAUCUACUACUGGAGAGGACGUACAGAAGCAGAAGAAGGAAGAAGAGG
rnacentral:lncRNA from 1 species